rnacentral:rRNA from 1 species
GGGGAAUUUUGGACAAUGGGCGCAAGCCUGAUCCAGCCAUGCCGCGUGCAGGAUGAAGGCCUUCGGGUUGUAAACUGCUUUUGUACGGAACGAAAAGGUGCCUUCUAAUAAAGGGCGCUCAUGACGGUACCGUAAGAAUAAGCACCGGCUAACUACGUGCCAGCAGCCGCGGUAAUACGUAGGGUGCGAGCGUUAAUCGGAAUUACUGGGCGUAAAGCGUGCGCAGGCGGUUUUGUAAGACAGAUGUGAAAUCCCCGGGCUUAACCUGGGAACUGCGUUUGUGACUGCAAGGCUGGAGUACGGCAGAGNGGGGUGGAAUUCCACGUGUAGCAGUGAAAUGCGUAGAGAUGUGGAGGAACACCGAUGGCGAAGGCAGCCCCCUGGGCCUGUACUGACGCUCAUGCACGAAAGCGUGGGGAGCAAACA